UGGGGAAUUUUGGACAAUGGGCGAAAGCCUGAUCCAGCAAUGCCGCGUGUGUGAAGAAGGCCUUCGGGUUGUAAAGCACUUUUGUCCGGAAAGAAAUCCUUGGCUCUAAUACAGUCGGGGGAUGACGGUACCGGAAGAAUAAGCACCGGCUAACUACGUGCCAGCAGCCGCGGUAAUACGUAGGGUGCAAGCGUUAAUCGGAAUUACUGGGCGUAAAGCGUGCGCAGGCGGUUUGCUAAGACCGAUGUGAAAUCCCCGGGCUCAACCUGGGAACUGCAUUGGUGACUGGCAGGCUAGAGUAUGGCAGAGGGGGGUAGAAUUCCACGUGUAGCAGUGAAAUGCGUAGAGAUGUGGAGGAAUACCGAUGGCGAAGGCAGCCCCCUGGGCCAAUACUGACGCUCAUGCACGAAAGCGUGGGGGAGCAAACAGGAUUAGAUACCCUGGUAGUCCACGCCCUAAACGAUGUCAACUAGUUGUUGGGGAUUCAUUUCCUUAGUAACGUAGCUAACGCGUGAAGUUGACCGCCUGGGGGAGUACGGUCGCAAGAUUAAAACUCAAAUGAAUUGACGGGGUCAUAGCUGUUUCC
rnacentral:rRNA from 1 species